GACGAACGCUGGCGGCGUGCUUAACACAUGCAAGUCGAGCGGUAAGGCCCUUUCGGGGGUACGACGAGCGGCGAACGGGUGAGUAACGACGUGGGUGACCUGCCCUCAGCUCUGGGAUAAGCCUGGGAAACCGGGUCUAAUACUGGAUAUGACUCCAUGACGCAUGUUGUGGGGUGGAAAGCCUUGUGCGGCUGAGGAUGGGCCCGCGGCCUAUCAGCUUGUUGGUGGGGUGANGGCCUACCAAGGCGACGACGGGUAGCCGGCCUGAGAGGGCGACCGGCCACACUGGAACUGAGACACGGUCCAGACUCCUACGGGAGGCAGCAGUGGGGAAUUUGGGCAAUGGGCAAAGCCUGACCCAGCGACGCCGCGUGGGGAUGAA
rnacentral:rRNA from 1 species